rnacentral:rRNA from 1 species
GAUGAACGCUGGCGGCGUGCCUAAUACAUGCAAGUCGAGCGAACAGAUGAGGAGCUUGCUCCUCUGACGUUAGCGGCGGACGGGUGAGUAACACGUGGAUAACCUACCUAUAAUACUGGGAUAACUUCGGGAAACCGGAGCUAAUACCGGAGAAUAUAUUGAACCGCAUGGUUCAAUAGUGAAAGACGGUUUUGCUGUCACUUAUAGAUGGAUCCGCGCGGCAUUAGCUAGUUGGUCAGGUAACGGCUUACCAAGGCAACGAGGCGUAGCCGACCUGAGAGGGUGAUCGGCCACACUAGAACUGAGACACGGUCCAGACUCCUACGGGAGGCAGCAGUAGGGAAUCUUCCGCAAUGGGCGAAAGCCUGACGGAGCAACGCCGCGUGAGUGAUGAAGGUCUUCGGAUCGUAAAACUCUGUUAUUAGGGAAGAACAAAUGUGUAAGUAACUAUGCACGUCUUGACGGUACCUAAUCAGAAAGCCACGGCUAACUACGUG